GAUGAACGCUGGCGGCGUGCCUAAUACAUGCAAGUCGAGCGAACAGACGAGGAGCUUGCUCCUCUGACGUUAGCGGCGGACGGGUGAGUAACACGUGGAUAACCUACCUAUAAGACUGGGAUAACUUCGGGAAACCGGAGCUAAUACCGGAUAAUAUAUUGAACCGCAUGGUUCAAUAGUGAAAGACGGUUUUGCUGUCACUUAUAGAUGGAUCCGCGCCGCAUUAGUUAGUUGGUAAGGUAACGGCUUACCAAGGCAACGAUGCGUAGCCGACCUGAGAGGGUGGACGGCCACACGGGAAGUGAGACACGGUCCAGACUCCUACGGUAGGCAGCAGUAGGGAAUCUUCCGCAAUGGGCGAGAGCGUGACGGAGGAACGCCGCGGGAGUGAUGAAGGUGUUCGGAUCGUAGAACUCUGUUAUUAGGGAAGAACAAAUGUGUAAGUAACUAUGCACGUCUUGACGGUACCUAAUCAGAAAGCCACGGCUAACUACGUG
rnacentral:rRNA from 1 species